ACAGUACAAACUGAACAGGCGAUGACUAGCGGUCAUUUGCCGGGCCGUGAUGGCAGCAGACGUAAAGCACCUGCGGGACAGUU
ncrna:unclassified sequences NiCo riboswitch